GGUACCUACGGGAGGCAGCAGUGGGGAAUAUUGCACAAUGGGGGAAACCCUGAUGCAGCGACGCCGCGUGAGUGAAGAAGUAUCUCGGUACGUAAAGCUCUAUCAGCAGGGAAGAAAAAAAGUCUUUGGCUUUGGACGGUACCUGACUAAGAAGCCCCGGCUAACUACGUGCCAGCAGCCGCGGUAAUACGUAGGGGGCAAGCGUUAUCCGGAUUUAUUGGGUCUAAAGGGUGCGUAGGCGGAUUUUUAAGUCAGCGGUAAAAUGUCCGGGCUCAACCCGGGCCGGCCGUUGAAACUGGGGAUCU
rnacentral:rRNA from 1 species